GUCGGGUCUGUGUCUGACAAGCAUUGAUUUUACCUGGAGAUCACAGUGACUGUGACCAACAUCAGAUUCUUCUGGUUCCUCCAUCCUGAAGUUUAGAAGCUGAGCCGACUGCAGGAUUGAAGCAGAUCUAAACCAGAGGCUGCAGCGUCUCCCUCAGUUUCUAGCUAUAAUAUUUCUAUGGUGUACAUUUUAACCACCUGGCACCUUGCUGAAAACUUCUAACAGCACGUUUCACUGCUUGCUGGACAUUAGCACCAGUCGGCCAUCGUAACUUCCAGGAGAACUGCUGCUCUGCUUUAGCCUCUGAAGUUUCACUUUAAAACACAAAAUCCAGUUUGUGUUUGAGGACUGGAUCAGUGACAAGAAACACCUUUCCUGAUAAAGAUCUUACAUUAGCUUCCAGUAGAGGAGGACUACACUGUCUCACUCAGGGCGAGGAUGUCUACAAGCACCACAAUGGCAACGUCAUCUCAGACAAACAACUCUGACUUCAAGUGUUUAUCUGUGGCCCUUCUGAACAUUAAUGGCCUUAGAAACAAAACCGUUUGUAUUCGACAGAUAAU